rfam:Papio anubis isolate 1X1155 chromosome 2, whole genome shotgun sequence.
GUAUGUGAAAGUGUAAAAUAGAAUGUUACUUUAGAAUGACUAUAAACAUUAAAAGAGACUGAAAACAUAC